UUCACGCAUUUCAUUUGCAUUCUUUUAUGUGUGAUUCAUCACAGCUUCACAGGAUUAUUAAAUUGCUUCUCUACACCUGCAGCCAUGUAAAGAUAUAGCAGGGAAUUAGAUUUGCGCAUUUGUGGGUAGAUUUUUGGGUAUCUAAACUGAGCAUGGAGAUAGAGUGCAAAGCUAAAGAAAGCGAUCAGGAUAUUUUAUUUAUUUAUUUAUUUACUGAGUCAAAUGUUAUGUAGAAGCUCCUGUUCAGAAUCGUGGGACUUUCUUCUGUCUAACUAGAUUCUUAUAGUAACUUCUGGCUGGUCGAAUUCUAAAGCUUCUCCCUUUAUAGAUCCAAUAAAUAGAUAGAGUCAACAGGAAGCAAUUUGGGUUCAAGCUUAUAACUCACACAGAAAGGCUCCGAUGAGCUGUUGACACACACCACCUGUCUAAUCAGCAUCAUGCCAAGGGAGCCGCAGCAGAGGGAUGAAAGAGCCACUCGCGGCACCGGAGCCGCGGGUUGCCGACCCCUGUACUAUGGGACAUAUAGACAGAAUCCUGAGGACAUAUUUGACAUGUACUGUAUGGGGACUGAUACCUGGACAGCAUAUAGAGUAAUUGCUAAAAACCUCUGCUUAAAAUAUGAAUAAGCUCAAAAUCUCUCGGUUCAUCGAAGACCCUUACAAUGAACUCUGUAUCUGCAACACCACUGGCAUUCUGGGUGACUGCAUCCAUCCCUGUCAUCUCCCAGCCAUCUGGCAGAUGGUACAGUAGCAUCCUGGCUAUUCGUGUCACACUCAGUAACAGCUUCUUCCCAAAGGCAAUCAGGCUCCUCAACAGUCGGAUUCCCUCAAACCCAAGUCAAGUGAACCGAGCUGAGCUGAGCGGAGCCGAGCAUAACAAAAACCCCUUGGUUGUGGAGAACCUGGAACCUUUCCCAGAAGACUCAAACCCAGAAGACACUCAGAGGGACACAAACACACACACACACACACACACACACACACACACACACACACACACACACACACACACACACACACACACACACACCUAUUCGCACACUAUAGACAAUUUAGAGAUGCCAGUAAGCCAACAACACAUGUCUGUGGAGUGCAGUGGUUUCUGCCGUGUAGGUUGGUGCUCUAGAAAGGAUGACAUAACGGAGCUGCUGUAACUGAUAAUUAAUCAACACCUACUGACCAAUCAGAAUUUGGAAGAGCCGUGAUAUAAUAAGUGCUAUAUUGAAUGUAUUAUUUUUGUACACGAGUGGAGAUAGAUUAGCCGCACGCUCUAAUUGGAAUUCAUUUAGCAUCCAGGUGUAAGUGCUUUAGUCAAACACAGAAAGCAUACAAGAUAAAAUCUAAUCUAUGCAGAUUUAUUGGUCUUGCUUAAGGGCCCAACUGUAGCUUUGUGUCACACUGGGAUUUGAACACACAACCUUCCGGGCCUGAGGCGGCAUAAUCUUUUCUAUCACACUUUCUAAUUCUCAUUAAUAUUCAUCAUUACUUCAUUUUUGUGAGCUUCGAAUGCAGACAAACACAAAUGAUAACUAUGAUUAAUACUUUUCUGCUGCUGCUCAUUAUACAGCUUCCAAUUCUAAAUAUUUGUUUCGGCCAAAAUUCAGCCGGACAGUUGUCAAAAUGAACACUCGUGUAAUUUAUCAAACAGAGAAAAAAAAAAGCCAAAAAAAAAAAAAACCCUGCAGCGCUGCAUUAAGAUCACGUUGACUAUUAAAACGUGCCUUCCAAUAUUCUCUGACUGAGAAGAGAGAACAAAUUGCUGUGCAAGAAGGGCAAGAAAGCAAAGGUCCAUGUGUGUGUUCAGAGGAAUAAAUACAACACUGUAACUAAAAAGGUGAACAAACCAAUCAAAGACUGCCAUUUCCCAUAUAUAUCAACUCUUAUGGCACAGAGUUAUUGAAUUAUCGAUUCUGAUUGGUCAGAUGGUGUUGAUUAAUUUACUAUAACAGCAGCCCUGACAGUUGUUCUGACCACAAGGUAAA